AACUGGUGGAGACAUGAACUGAGACAAUGUU
rnacentral:piRNA from 1 species